rnacentral:rRNA from 1 species
GUACACGCUGUGACUAGCAUAUCAAUAAGCGGAGGAAAAGAAACUAACAAGGAUUCCCUUAGUAACGGCGAGUGAAGCGGGAAGAGCUCAAAUUUGAAAUCUUCAAGGUUUUACCUUGACGAAUUGUAGUUUAAAGAAGUGUUUUCUGUUGAAGUUUUGGUAAAGGUUCUUUGGAAUAGGACAUCAUAGAGGGUGAGAAUCCCGUAUUUGACCAUUAUUUUCAGCUGUGUGAUACACUUUCAAAGAGUCGGAUUGUUUGGGAAUGCAGUCCAAAAUGGGUGGUAAAUUUCAUCUAAAGCUAAAUAUUGGCGAGAGACCGAUAGCGAACAAGUACCGUGAGGGAAAGAUGAAAAGAACUUUGAAAAGAGAGUUAAACAGUACGUGAAAUUGUCAAAAGGGAAGCGUUUGACACCAGUGUUGUUUUCUCGAAAAUCAAUUAAAAAAGGCAGGAUUUUGUGUUGUAUUGACUUUAUCAGCUUUCUGCACUCUUUUCUUGUCUUUUUUAAUGCACUUUUCGUUUAACAAGUCAACAUCAAUUUCUUUUGUUGUAAAAGGGUCAUUGGAAGGUGGCUUUCUUUUCGGAGAAAGUGUUUAUAGCCUUUGGCCUCUGCAAUCGGAGAGAUUGAGGUCUGCAGCGUAGAUCCUCCGGGGUUAGAUACAUUUGUGCUAAGUUAUAGCCUUUCAUAGACAACUUGUUGACUAUGAUCAGUCAUGUAGCUUACUCGCUUAUGCUAUUUUACCUACGCUUAGGAUGUUGAAGACUCUACAGAGAU